AAAACUAUAAUAAUGGAUUCAGAACUUGCUUUUUCACAUAGAUGUUCCUUGUGAACUUAGGUACUACUGCAAAGUGCAAAGAAAACUGGCACAAAAUUGGUAGGAAAAGCAAACGGGUUGUAGGUAGUGGACUCAUUUGGAGUCCAUCAUAAUCAGUGGUUGCAGGGCAACCAUUAUACAUACAUUGAUUUUAUGAUAUAAUGUUGAUAGUAUUUUUGAGUAGCUUCACAUAAGAUGAUGUUCUGUAUGCAUUCCCUUGAAUUACUUGGGCAACAUCUCCUGUAUCGUUCCAGGUGAGGUAUUCCUUCGGAAAGCUGCCUUAAUUCUGCAUUCUUUGAAAAAUAGCACUUGUCAUAAACUCUUCACUUGUCAAUCCUUCAGGAACAUUGACCACCACAUCUUGAAGCACCAUCUCGUUGAUGCU
rnacentral:misc_RNA from 1 species